AUUGAACGCUCGCGGCAGGCCUAACACAUGCAAGUCGGACGAGCGGCGGACGGGUAAGUAAUGUAUGGGGAUCUGCCUGAUGGAGGGGGAUAACUACUGGAAACGGUAGCUAAUACCGCCUACCAUCAGAUGUACCCAGAUGGGAUUAGCUAGUAGGUGAGGUAAAGGCGUACCUAGGCGACGAUCCCUAGCUGGUAGGAGUGGAUGAUCAGCCAGACGGGGACUGAGACACGGACCAGACUCCUACGGGAGGCAGCAGGAGGUAAUGUUCGGCAAUGGACGAAAGUCUGACCGAGCCACGCCGCGUGUAUAGAGAAGGCCUUCGGGUUUUAAAGUACUUUCAGUAGGGAAGCGUUACCGACAGAAGAAGCACCGGGUAACUCCGUGCCAGCAGCCGCGGUAAUAC
rnacentral:rRNA from 1 species